UAGGGAAUCUUCCGCAAUGGGCGAAAGCCUGACGGAGCAACGCCGCGUGAGUGAUGAAGGUCUUCGGAUCGUAAAACUCUGUUAUUAGGGAAGAACAAAUGUGUAAGUAACUAUGCACGUCUUGACGGUACCUAAUCAGAAAGCCACGGCUAACUACGUGCCAGCAGCCGCGGUAAUACGUAGGUGGCUAGCGUUGUUCGGAUUUACUGGGCGUAAAGCGCGCGUAGGCGGUUUUUUAAGUCUGAUGUGAAAGCCCACGGCUCAACCGUGGAGGGUCAUUGGAAACUGGAAAACUUGAGUGCAGAAGAGGAAAGUGGAAUUCCAUGUGUAGCGGUGAAAUGCGCAGAGAUAUGGAGGAACACCAGUGGCGAAGGCGACUUUCUGGUCUGUAACUGACGCUGAUGUGCGAAAGCGUGGGGAUCAAACAGG
rnacentral:rRNA from 1 species